UGCAGAAAUGCAGGAGGAUGCAUAGCCUGCAAUGUUCAAAACAUUCCCAUUACAUAUUACUAUGACAAGCAGGGCACUUGAAUUUAAAGGAUUGAAGGUCACAAUGUUUUAGCAGCAAAAAUAUUCGAGUGGACCAUGAAGUUUUCUACUUUUAUAAUGUGAAGGCACCAACUACCAAGAGCAGCUUUCUCACACGUCAUUUUGAAGUAAAACAUACUCUCUCUGGGAAAUAUUUGAGGCUUGAAAGAAUUAUGGUAUUCGAAAAAAUCAACGAAGAAGCAACAUCAUAGUUCUGGACCCAAAUUUACAAUGAAAAUAAAG
rnacentral:misc_RNA from 1 species